rnacentral:rRNA from 1 species
UACGGAGGGAGCUAGCGUUGUUCGGAUAUACUGGGCGUAAAGCGCACGUAGGCGGCGCCGUAAGUCAGGGGUGAAAUCCCGGAGCUCAACUCCGGAACUGCCUUUGAAACUGCAGUGCUAGAAUCCUGGAGAGGCGAGUGGAAUUCCGAGUGUAGAGGUGAAAUUCGUAGAUAUUCGGAAGAACACCAGUGGCGAAGGCGACUCGCUGGACAGGUAUUGACGCUGAGGUGCGAAAGCGUGGGGAGCAAAC